AAAUAAAUCUUAAAAAAAGAUUCUUAAUAUAAAGCAAGGCAGAUAAACCUGUCCUGUUAAGCAUGCUAUCUUGCUUGGCCUUGUAUUGAGGGGUUCAGAAUCUACAGAGCUGGGUGCAGGGGAGGGGACAGUCUUAACUCUUCUACUCUUGUAAAACUAAUUUAACGGCACAGCGCUGGGGUGGCGCAUGCACGUGUGUGUGUGUGUGUGUGUGUGUGUGUGUGUGUGUGUGUGUGUGUGUAGGAGGCUGAGGACUUUGGCCGUGCCAGGUUUCCGGAGACGGGCGGCAGGAUUGACAGCCACAGCUUGGUCCCUGUGCUAGGACGGAAUCUGCUGUGUGUGCAGCCUCCUUCCUGCCCCACCCCACCCCCCAUCCUGGCAGGUGCAGACAGACAGACACCCUGUUUUAAGGACAGAUGUGUGUUGGCUGCCCUAUCUGCUCCCUCUCUGCCCUUACCCCUGCCCCCAUGAAUCCUCCCCCUCUCCCCAGGGGCCUCUUGAUGGAAUGUCCUGUCCCAGGAGGCAUUGCAUCACUGCCAUCCCGCCUCAUGCUCUCCAUGGCUGCUUCUGCUCUGACCAAGAAAGGGCUGAGGUUUGGGUUUCAGAACUGCUGUGAGGGAAUCUGUGUUAUGUGGCCUGUCUCAGGGCUAAAAAUGCCACUUAACCCCAUUGUACGUUCUCUCAGUUAAAGCACUAAGACUCCCCGUCCUCCCCUGCCUUGGCCAGCAUGGAGCAGGGUCCUCUCCUCACCCUCUGUUACUCAGGGGAAGACUAAGAUGGAGCAGGCAGAUGGAGGCAGGACCACCGAGUACCCAGUGACAACACUCUCCAGUGCCUUUGACAUCGUGUGAUGACUCUGAAGAAUGCCUGGAAACCGCUCACGCAGCCUCUUUGCUUUCCCUUUAGAGGUGGUUGCUGCCAAUGCAAGGCAAUCAGGGACAGCAUGUGACACGUGGCUAGAGCUGACUGCUGUGUGUGGGUGUCAUAUUUAAUCACAAAUGACUUUUUCCUAGAUAUAGCCCACUCGGGGAUGUUUGCUAAACCACACUCCCCAGAAGCAUUUCUUCCUUUUUGGGUUUUCUUGUAGAAACAGCAUCUCUUUCCCCCUUUGAAUGAGAUGAGGGUCUUAUAAGUGACACUCUGCUAUGAGUUUUUUGUUUUUUGUUUUUCAAUGUAAUAAAUAUGCUGACUUGGAACGUU